rnacentral:rRNA from 1 species
CGCCAGGGGAUUACGAGCGAUGCUUAAAACCCAAAGGAUUUGACGGUGUCCCACCCCACUAGAGGAGCCUGUUCUAUAAUCGAUGACCCCCGCUUCACCUGACCAUCCCUCGCCAUCAGUCUGUAUACCUCCGUCGAAAGCUUACCAUGUGAACGCCCGCAGUAGGCUUAAUGAUCUAUCAUCAACACGUCAGGUCAAGGUGCAGCUCAAGGAAUGGAAAGUAAUGGGCUACAAUUUCUAACUUAGAACAAACGAAAGACUAUGUGAAACCCCUAGUCAUGAAGGUGGAUUUAGUAGUAAAAAGAAAGUAGAGUGUUCUUUUUAACCCGGCC